AUGAACGCUGGCGGCGUGCCUAAUACAUGCAAGUCGAGCGAACGGACGAGAAGCUUGCUUUUCUGAUGUUAGCGGCGGACGGGUGAGUAACACGUGGAUAACCUACCUAUGAGACUGGGAUAACUUCGGGAAACCGGAGCUAAUACCGGAUAAUAUUUUGAACCGCAUGGUUCAAAAGUGAAAGACGGUCUUGCUGUCACUUAUAGAUGGAUCCGCGCUGCAUUAGCUAGUUGGUAAGGUAACGGCUUACCAAGGCAACGAUGCAUAGCCGACCUGAGAGGGUGAUCGGCCACACUGGAACUGAGACACGGUCCAGACUCCUACGGGAGGCAGCAGUAGGGAAUCUUCCGCAAUGGGCGAAAGCCUGACGGAGCAACGCCGCGUGAGUGAUGAAGGUCUUCGGAUCGUAAAACUCUGUUAUUAGGGAAGAACAUAUGUGUAAGUAACUGUGCACAUCUUGACGGUACCUAAUCAGAAAGCCACGGCUAACUACGUG
rnacentral:rRNA from 1 species